GAAAUAUAAAUUCUUAUGGGAAUUAAAUUCUCAAUCAUACAAUACGUUAAUAUUUUUGAAAAUAGUAUGUGGUAAUUUUUUAUUUUUUUUAAUAAAAAAACGUUAAAAACAAUAGAUAUAUAAGGUGGUUAUUUCUAAACAACUUUUGGAUGUGGCCAACUAAAACACAAGUAAUUCUUGACCGACAAAGUAAAUCACCGUAACCAAGUAACCCCUGACUGAGUAACCCAUGACCCAUCGUCUAAUCCUGACCGACCAAGUAAUCCACGAUCGAGUAACUCCUAACUGAGUGAGUAAUCCAUGACUGAUUGAGUAACCCAUGACUGACUGAGUAACCCCUAACCAAAUAACCCCGAAAUGAAAAUGAAAGUUUGUGUUUUUAAAUAAAUCCUUUUUAUAUAAAAAAAAAAAAAUUAAAAAAAAAAUGGAAUGUAGAGGAUUAUGAACGAAUUGGGCCUUGAUGCAUUAGGGUUUAUACAGUUCCCAAAUUUCAUCUAUAUAAUUCGACGCCGUUUUUCACUAUCAACACCCACUCAUCUCAUCUUCCUCCCUCUUCUUUCUAUCUCGCAUCUAAACUGCUCAAUUAUUAACAGCAACUUCUACAAAACUUCCCCAUUUUAUUGUUAUUUAUAUAAUCUUCUCAAAACCAAAAACCCAUCUUUGAUUUUCAGGUUCAAGGUUGGCUCUUGUUUUCUUGAGCAGGGAAGUCUUUUAGUUAUAAAAUUUGUUGCAGUUACACUUGUACUAGUUGUUGCUUUGGUAAAUUGGUAGUUUGUACUAAACUAUAUUGAAAUGAAAUAAAAGAACUUUUUAGCCAUUGAUAUUUUUGCAGCAA